rnacentral:rRNA from 1 species
AUUGAACGCUAGCGGGAUGCUUUACACAUGCAAGUCGAACGAGUUGCGGACGGGUGAGUAAUAUAUCGGAACGUGCCCAGUAGCGGGGGAUAACUACUCGCAAGAGUGGCUAAUACCGCAUACUUUUGUACCGGCCGAUCUCGGAUUAGCUAGGUGGUGGGGUAAAGGCUAACCAAGGCAACGAGCCGUAGCUGGUUUGACAGGACGACCAGCCACACUGGGACUUAGACACGGCGCAGACGCCGAAGGGAGGCAGCAGUGGGGAAGUUUGGACAAAGGGGGAAACCCUGAUCCAGCCAUCCCGCGUGUAUGAGAAGGCCUUCGGGUUGUAAAGUACUUUUGGCAGAGAAGCGGUAUCUGCAGAAUAAGCACCGGCUAACUACGUGCCAGCCGCCGCGGUAAUUC